AUUGAACGCUGGCGGCAGGCCUAACACAUGCAAGUCGAGCGGCAGCGGAAAGUAGCUUGCUACUUUGCCGGCGAGCGGCGGACGGGUGAGUAAUGUCUGGGAAACUGCCUGAUGGAGGGGGAUAACUACUGGAAACGGUAGCUAAUACCGCAUGACCUCGAAAGAGCAAAGUGGGGGAUCUUCGGACCUCACGCCAUCGGAUGUGCCCAGAUGGGAUUAGCUAGUAGGUGAGGUAAUGGCUCACCUAGGCGACGAUCCCUAGCUGGUCUGAGAGGAUGACCAGCCACACUGGAACUGAGACACGGUCCAGACUCCUACGGGAGGCAGCAGUGGGGAAUAUUGCACAAUGGGCGCAAGCCUGAUGCAGCCAUGCCGCGUGUGUGAAGAAGGCCUUAGGGUUGUAAAGCACUUUCAGCGAGGAGGAAGGCAUCAUACUUAAUACGUGUGGUGAUUGACGUUACUCGCAGAAGAAGCACCGGCUAACUCCGUGCCAGCAGCCGCGGUAAUACGGAGGGUGCAAGCGUUAAUCGGAAUUACUGGGCGUAAAGCGCACGCAGGCGGUUCGUUAAGUCAGAUGUGAAAUCCCCGCGCUUAACGUGGGAACUGCAUUUGAAACUGGCAAGCUAGAGUCUUGUAGAGGGGGGUAGAAUUCCAGGUGUAGCGGUGAAAUGCGUAGAGAUCUGGAGGAAUACCGGUGGCGAAGGCGGCCCCCUGGACAAAGACUGACGCUCAGGUGCGAAAGCGUGGGGAGCAAACAGG
rnacentral:rRNA from 1 species